rnacentral:lncRNA from 1 species
GCAUGUGCGUAUGUGUGUGUGUAGGUGGGCACUGGUAUGAACGUGAGAAAUAAAGGAGACGGAAAGCUAUGCCUCUGUCACUGUCAAGAAAGGUGGCCGGCUGAUGAAGCCAGCGCUGUCUGUGCACCUGGACCACCCCGGGCCUCCGUCCUCAGCCUCUCCACGCCUCACUUCCAGGCAGCCGAAGGAGGGCUUCUCCGAGUUACCUGUCCUAGGGCAGCAGCUACAUGGAGGCCAUCCACCUUGCUCUGGCUUCUCAAGGGCAGAACCCACGAAAGUCCGAGGCACCUGGGCCCCACAUCUUCCCAGCGUGGGGCGACGUGUGUGUGUGUGUGUGUGUAAUGCCUCUAACACACAGUAAUUCCCAGAAGACAAAGCACUGGUCUGUCUGAAGAUGGUCCAGAGUUCAAGCGGGGAAAAAAAAAAAAUCUCGAGGCACUGAGUCAGUGCUUGCCGCCUGCCUAGGCGUCUGGAGCAUCUGCAUCGCGGAGAAGGGAUUUUUUAACUCUGAACCUUCUCCAGAUCCUCUUGGCAAUUAUCUCAUCUGGCAGUGCCGCAACAAGUGGCCCCGCCGCCUACCCCGGAUUACAGCCUCCUGGUCCCCAGCCCCUGCUGGAGUAGCUGUUUGGGGUGUGUGCGGGGGGGGGGGGCUAUUUUUAAUUGUGAAAAUUCUGAAUCCCGUGUGCUGGCAUUCUCUUGUCAUAGUCAACCCACCCCCCAUUUUUAAUGCGGCGGCACCAUCCAGAUUAACACCUGGAAAUGGAAAACUUACC